AACUGGGCAAAAGGUCAGGUGGCUGGCCCCACCCCUGGAUCCACCCCUGGCUUGGAAAGAUGGGAUUGGAGGAGAACAGAGUGAAGACAAGCCCAUCAGAUCCAGAAGCCCUCUCAGGAACAUUGGAGAGAAACUGAAGAAUACUGCAAAAGAUGAUGUAAGGACCUGUGUUAAGAAGAAUGCUGCAUGUAGUGAAAAUGACACCAAAUGUUUUGUGUUGAGCUACAAAGUGUGUAUCUGGUAAAUGACCCCAUGACCUUAAGCUGGUCCAGGAAGGGUAUAUAAGAACAGCUCUGAACAGCAGAGGGGGAUUGAGAGAGAGAGCUGGGGCAGACAACAAGAAGAGACAGAGCAGAUUUGGAGGGGUCAUCCCCCGUCCUACUGGAUGGGGGAUGACAGGUCAGUUUUUUGGAGAGAAGCAGAGCUAGAUAAGAGUUUUAGAAGAGUUUGGGAAGAUUCUCAGAAGACAGGAGUUGGUGUAAACUGACUCUUUUAUUUAAUCAUUUUGAACUAAUCCCUCCUUGGGGGAUAGCAGUUGUUUUUAUAUAUUUACUCAUUUUUGUAUUUUUCUAUUUUGUAAUAAACUUUUUUGGAAAAGAAACAUAAUCCUGAUUAUUUCAGGUUUUCUCUAAAGCUUCACGAGUGGGGGCCCUGGCCAUAAUUGCACAGAGAUGUAGCUAAAUCACACAAGAAAAGAUUCCCAUCUGAACAUCUGAGCUGGACACUGCUCAGCGCAGCCCUGCACCAUCAACAGAGGAACUUCUACAACACCUACGGACUCGCGGUGAUGGUAAAACUUUGCCAAAGACAUAGGUGUUGGGGGAGGCAAGAGAAAACUCAAAACCUUCUUUAUUUUUGUUUCCUUUGUUUGUUUGUUUUGAAAAUAAAGAUAUAUUUUGGGGAAAUAAGGACUAAUAAUUUAAAAAUGUAUGUAAAAUGCUGGAGGUAGACAUAAGUUUUUGUUGUUGUGCAGGAGUUUUAAAAUUUAUGGUAUUUUUACAAAUGCAACACAGAGUUAUGCUUUAGAACACUUUAUUAGAGCAUCAAACAAAAAUAUAUAAAAAAAACUAACUGAUGUAAAAUAUUAAAUAUAUACAUUUAUUUACAAUCGUCUUGGAAUAAAACCAGUGUAGUUACCAUUGGGGUCAGGGAAUUUUUCCCUUAUCCUCCAGACAACACAGCUUGGGAUUACUACUCUGCGCCCUCCAGCAAGUUUUCCAUGCUACCAUGCUACAAAUUGUAAGCUGCAUGGCGGAACUGUCUGUUGUCCUCACCAGGGUCCAGGUCAUCAUAAACUGCUCGAAACUCAUUCCACAAUGUUCUGGCCAGGCGAAGAACACCAUUUUGCAGAAUAAACUCCUCCAUGUGUGGUACAGUUGAAAUACAUGUCUGGGGAGGCUGUUGGCAGCUUUUCUUUUCCAAAUCAGUUGGCAUAUCUCUGCAGUGGGAGCAUACACACCAUGAAGGUUGAUUGGAUGUUGGAGGUGUUGUGGCAGGUGGACCAGAGAGGGCAAGUACAUCAAAGAGAACACCAGGGUCUCUGUCCAGCACCAUGGUAAGGAUGUCAAUAGCCUGCUGAGGGUGCAGGUUCUGUAUGUGUUACUUCAAAAGUGGAAAGAGAUGCUACAGCAACAGAUUUUAGGAUCAUUUAGUAUAAUUCUAUUAUGCUUACACGUUCAAAGUCUAUUCGCUCUCGAGAGAGAGAUCUUCAUCUCCAAGGUCCACAGCUGAGUGUCUCGCACUUCUUCGGCCUUUGGAUGCACCGCGGCCUCUAGACGCACCACGGCCUCUGGAUGCACCACGGCUUUGAGAUGAUGGUGGGCAUCUCCUUUUUGCACCACGUCUUGAGGAUGCAAUGGGAGGUUCAAACUCUUCCUCAGAGGAUUCCUCAAUCACUGAACUCUAAUUUGUAUUAGAAUAAAAAAAAAUUAUACUAAUAUAAAAAGUACUCUUGCAUAUUAAUCAAUUUUGACACAGAUCAGGUUUACAUCUAGUCAAAAUUUGGGCUAAACCAACAAUAAACAGAAACCCUAUGAAAACAACCAUGAUUAUAGGAGGACUACACAGAAUGCAGUGUUUAUUCAUGAUUUCCACAUAAAUUAUUUACAUGCUUUGAUAUAUUCGUCCCAUCUUGAAUGGCAAAGCAAUUAAAAAUAAGCAAAUUACUCGUAAUAAAAUGCUAACAAUUUGAUAGGAUUCAUUUUAUUUACAAUAUAGAUUGUCAACUGUUACUGGUAUUUUAAAAUAUAAAUAUAUUUAUAGAUAUUCUUUAUAAAAUGCCUUUUGUAAACAGUAAGUGUUUAAUGUGCUGGUUAAAAACAACUUUCUUACCUUAGAUAACUCCAUUGCUAACACUAGCUCAGCUCUAUUAUGAAGAAGCAAUGCUGCUCUGGUGUUGACUCUGCUUUUCCUGCGCGUGCACAUUGGGAGGUGUGGCUUUCGGCUCUUUCAGGAAGGGCGGGGGAGUGAGCAACAGCCGUUCGAAUUUAAAAAUCUCCUCCUCCUCACCCUGACGGUGUCAUCUUACGGACCAUGCCUUUAAAUGUAUGAAACAAUUUGGUUCCAGAGCAGUUCUACCAUGCCAAGAAAACAGUACUUUUAAGUAGUUUUCUAAAAUGCCCAACCACUACCUGACAAACAUUUGUUAUUUGAAGAGAAAUAACAGUCUUCUGAUUUAUUUAUUUGUUUUUUAUAAAAUAAGACUUUAUUAUUUGUGCAAGCAAUUCUUUAAAGGGGCAUUAUGGAAGUUUGACAGCCAAAUAAUGUAUAGAAAUAAUAAAUUUCUUCUUCAUACAUUCUCCUGCAAUGCCCUGGUCCUGUAGAAUGAGCCCUGGCAUUUUUACUGUGAUUGCCUGUUUUUCUGUAAAAUCACAGAAAAAGAGAGAUGCUCGGGUCGAGCAGGCUGCUUCAUGCGCGUUCACGCUCAGGCAUCGCCCGUAGCAUUUGCUAUCCGUAGCUUUAGCAGCAGAGAGAGAGGCAGUGCCAACUCAGCGACUUUGUCGCUGUUCCUCACGCCUAGUGAUGAACCUAGCUACAUUUCUGAGGACCCUUAGCUACUUUCUUCUAGAUAUUUCCUGCAAAUUAGCAACAAAAUAGCCAUUUUCGCUCUGAACCAUUCUUUGAACGUUGUUUCAGCUGUCAGCAAGGAUAUAAAUAUUACAGAUACAAAAGAUGUCAUUGGUGCUAUAGCGCACCUAGUAAGACAGCAGACUCUCGUGCGGAAGACCCGGGUUUGAUUCUGGAUGUGAACAUAGAUUAUUUAGAGUUUAUUUUUUACAUUAAUGGUAUAUUUUUUACAGUAAGAUGCCCAAAUUUUUAUUUGAGACUCGCCGAACGGCAUUGAAUUCACAGAUAAAACAGAUGUGGGUUCAACUUUCAUUUUGGAACAAUUUUUCAAGGGAAGGGCAUGAUCUGAGCAUGCAGGAGGACUGACCCAUCUUAAACCUUUGUCGGCUGUGCUGAAGAGAAAGGUACAGAACCAAAUUAUUUAAUUAAUUGGCUACGCGUUCUCCUGUCCUCUGUCAUCCGGGCCACACACACACACACACAGGACUGUCUCAGCUGUUAUUUUCGUUAAGGAGUGUGCACGUACAGCAUGCGCACCUCGUGCAUGAGCCUACUAUUGAAGCUGCCGUCACGCUUUUGGCCUGAGGGGGCAAUCGCGAGCAUAAACAUUCAAAACUCCGUAAAGUCCCUUUUAAAGGUCCUAUAUCAUGCAAAAUCCAUUGUUGAAUGUUUGAAAGAGUGGGUUGUGAAAAUAACUUCCAUUUCA